rnacentral:lncRNA from 1 species
GGCUCCCUAAUCUGAGAGAUUUGCAACUUUUUGUUUUGUUUUGUUUCAUUUUUUUUCUGAGACAGGAUCUCGCCCUGACACCCAGGAUGUAGUUCAUUGAUGCUAUCAUAGCUCAUUGCAGCCUUGAACUCCUGGGCUCAAAAGAGCCUCCUGUCUCAGCCUUCCCAAGAGCUGGGACCACAGGCAGGCACCACCGUGCCCAGCUAUUUUUUAUUUUUGUGUAGAGAUGUGGUCUCACUGUGUUUCCAAGGUUGGUCUCAAACUCCUGGCCUCAAGCUGUCCUCCCACCUUGGCCUCCCAAAGCACUGGGAUUACAAAUGUGAGCCACUGUGUCUAACCACAAGAAUUAUUAAAAGGAAUUUUACUUAAGUAUCUACUUCCAGAUCUUUCCAUGUUUCUUUACUAGCUACAAAAUAAAAGAAUUACCCCAUCAGCCUCUGUAGGGUAAGAUGAAUUGUGUGGAAUGGGUAUGAAAUGAAGGAUAGUUAGAUGUAGAAGGUAAAACAAAAGGAAUCAGCUUUUUGUGUCUGUGACAGAGGAUCUGAUACUUGAUGGUCUGACCACAAGGCAUCGCUCAGAAAUCAGCAGUCCUUUUCACCCAGUGAACAGCCAGCUGCUUUGAGCAGAGAGAGCUGUGGUUGGAACUCCUGCUCUGUGACUCAGGGGAGGAGGCAGAGCUUGCCGCAGAAUGCAGCCACUGCCCACAGCCCCUGUGCACUCCCUUUUCCCUUGUGCUGGCUUCCCGCUGCCAGCAUCUGCAAGUCUCUGCCUGGAGGUGAGCAGGAGGGUGCUGGGCCCGUUAGACAAGUGGCUAGGGCUGGGGAGUUCAUGGUCUUCACGCAGUUUCAGGUGGAGGUUGCAGGAUAUAUGGCCCAGCUUCCUGGCCCCAGGUGGAACAACCCUGAGACAUGUUCGCCAUUUCCCACAGGCCCCCAGUGGGACUGAGUCCUAGUUGUCUUCAGUGGCAAUCUUCUCAUUACCACCUCUCGUGUUGAUUUUUUUUCCCUUCACUUUCUCAUUUUUCCAUUUCCUUGUUGGUCCCAAUUAACUACUUGCACAUGAAUCUUUGUCUCAGGGUCUGCAUCUGGGGGACCCCAAAGACAGAGACACUUGAGCUCUUACUCUGCCUUUAUCUUAGACCUAGCAUUGGUCUCCAGAGGUCACUCAUGACUUAAGGGCCUAUCUUAAUGGCCUCUUUCCCCAUGUGUUCCUUGGGAAUGUCCAUUGUUGAUGCAUCUUUCUGUACUAAGUAGAGUUUUGGGCUGCAAGGAGGCAGUUAGCACAGGGAACUAUGUAGUGAGGGACAUGGAGACUAAACAGCAGCUGGCCCAUCUCUCUGGUUUCUCAUGGCCAAGCCUGGGACACACAGCUGCCCUCGUGCAGGUCCAGAACUAUGGCACUUGUUCCCUCAGGACCCAUCCUCAAAGCCAGUGACUUGGUCUUUUCCUAUGACAAAGGAGCUCCCAGAAUGUGGCAGUCCCCCUUCCUAGAGGGAGAAUCUGACUGGGUCAGGGAGGCACCUCCGGUUUGCAGAGCCCCCAUUGGUCAGGUUCAGUUUCCAAAACACCUGAGGGGCAAGUGGCUUCUCGAAGUCCAGCCCACAUGGUUACUUUUGACUUGGACACUCAAGGCACAGGGACACAUGACACAGGCACAGGGUGUGACAACUGCAUGCAGAAAGAGCCACUCUCAUUCCUCAGAAGAGGCUGUGGAGAUGAGUGGCUGAGCCAUGUGCCCCAAAAUUCAUGUUGAAGUCCUAACCCCCAGUAUCUUAAAAUGUGACCGUAUUUAGAGAUAGAACCUUUAAAGAGCUAACUGGGUUAAAAUGAAUUCAUUAGGGUAGGCCGUACUUCAGUAUGACUGCUGUCUUUAGCAGAAGAAGAAAUCAGGGUACAGACACGCAGAGGGGAGGGCAUGUGAGGACAUGGGAAGGAAAUGCCACUUGCAAGCCAAUGAGAGAGGCCUCAGAAGAAACCAGCCCUCCUGACACCUUGAUCCUAGACUUCCAGCCUCCAGAACUGUAAGAAAAUACAUUUCUGUUGUUUAAGCCACAUGGUCUUAGAGUUCUAUCUUGAAUUUCUCUCUGCUUCAGACUUUUCUGUUUUGUUUUUUAGCCUAAAUCCUAUUGAAAAGAGCAGAGAAGAUAGAGUGCAGGCCCCUAGAGACAGGAUGGAACGAAACACGCAGUGUGUGUCUGUGUCCUGCUCAGCAUACGCUCUUGGUCCCCACUGGGCCAUCUCGCUGCUGACUGGCAUCCCGAAGAACAGGCAGAUUGCACAGGGGCAGCUCUUUCCUCCAAAGCUGCAAUGUGAUGCAUGAAGUCCUCAGAUUUGGGAACUCAUACAGGCACUUGAGCUCAAACAUACAGUUCUGAUCUAAGACAUCACAGGGUCAUGGUGGAGCUGUUUCAGCUGCAGGUGGUAUUCCACCAUUUGGUCCUCCCUGAUGUCUCCUGGCACCUUUCCUUCUUCAGUCUCACCACUCUGAAGAAGCGUGCUUGUAAGCGCCGCGGGACGAUCCAGGACGUCCAGGAUUGUGGACGAUCCUGUUCUUCCCAUCUGUGAGGGCCUGGAUUACAGUUCCUCAAGCUUUGGGAUACAAACGAAUCACCUGGGAUUUGGAUAAAAUGCAGAUUCGUGUUCAGCAGCCCUGGCAUUCUGCAUUUCUCAUGAGCUCCAGGAAGAUGCUGGCGCUGCUGGGGCAGGACCACACUUUGGGUGGCAAGGGCUUGGCAGGCAAUUCCAGGUGUCACCCUAGAGAUGGCCUGCUAUUGCACUGUCAGUAGGUAGCUGCCACAGUGACGGCCGCUCCAGAUCAAGGGGAGAACCUUUUGAA